rnacentral:tRNA from 1 species
UGGCUCAAUGGUAGAGCAUUGACCUAUGAACUAAGAGGUCCUGGGUUCAAUUCCCAG